GAUGAACGCUGGCGGCGUGCCUAAUACAUGCAAGUCGAGCGAACAGAUGAGGAGCUUGCUCCUCUGACGUUAGCGGCGGACGGGUGUGUAACACGUGUAUAACCUACCUAUAAGACUGGGAUAACUUCGGGACACCGGCGCUAAUACCGUAUAAUAUAUUGAACCGCAUGGUUCAAUAGUGAGAGACGGUUUUUCUGUCACGUCUCGAUGGAUCCGCGCCGCAUUAGCUAGUUGGUAAGUUAACGGCUUACGAAGGCAACGAGGCGUAGCCGACCGGAGAGAGUGGUAGGCCACACGGGAGCUGAGACACGGUCAAGGCUCCUACGGGAGGCAGCAGUAGGGAAUCUGCCGCAAUGGGCGAAAGCUUGGCGGAACAACGGCGCGUGAGUGAUAAAGGUCUUCGGAUCGGAAAACUCUGUUAUGAGGGAAAAACAAAUGUGUAAGGAACUAUGCACGUAGUGACGGUACCUAAUCAGAAAGCCACGGCUAACUACGUG
rnacentral:rRNA from 1 species